rnacentral:rRNA from 1 species
CUACGUGCCAGCAGCCGCGGUAAUACGUAGGUGGCAAGCGUUGUCCGGAAUUAUUGGGCGUAAAGCGCGCGCAGGCGGAUCAGUCAGUCUGUCUUAAAAGUUCGGGGCUUAACCCCGUGAUGGGAUGGAAACUGCUGAUCUAGAGUAUCGGAGAGGAAAGUGGAAUUCCUAGUGUAGCGGUGAAAUGCGUAGAUAUUAGGAAGAACACCAGCGGCGAAGGCGACUUUCUGGACGAAAACUGACGCUGAGGCGCGAAAGCCAGGGGAGCGAACGGGAUUAGAUACCCCGGUAGUCCUGGCCGUAAACGAUGGGUACUAGGUGUAGGAGGUAUCGACCCCUUCUGUGCCGGAGUUAACGCAAUAAGUACCCCGCCUGGGGAGUACGACCGCAAGGUUGAAACUCAAAGGAAUUGACGGGGGCCCGCACAAGCGGUGGAGUAUGUGGUUUAAUUCGACGCAACGCGAAGAACCUUACCAGGUCUUGACAU